rnacentral:rRNA from 1 species
AUUGAACGCUGGCGGCAGGCUUAACACAUGCAAGUCGAACGAGUGGCGGACGGGUGAGUAAUGCUUGGGAAUCUAGCCUAUGGAGGGGGAUAACUACGGGACACUGUAGCUAAUACCGCGUACCAUCGGAUGAGCCCAAGUGGGAUUAGGUAGUUGGUUUGGUAAUGGCUCACAAAGUCGACGAUCCCCAGCUGGUCUGAGAGGAUGACCAGCCACACUGGGACUGAGACACGGCCCAGACUCCUACGGGAGGCAGCAGUGGGGAAUAUUGCGCAAUGGGGGCAACCUGACGCAGCCAUGCCGCGUGAAUGAAGAAGGCCUUCGGGUUGUAAAGUUCUUUCGGGAGCGAGGCGUUAACUACAGAAGAAUCACCGGCUAACUCCGUGCCAGCAGCCGCGGUAAUUC